AAAGUAAAGGCCGAAAUUAUUUCUAAUCGAAAUUAAUUCAAUAAAUGUUUCCUAUAUAAAUAGAAAACAAAUACAAAAACAGAGUAAAAUUGGAAUUUUUGUACCUUUACUCAAUUGUUCCUAACUCCGGUAUUUAUCCAUAGAUUUUCUUCAACAAAAGCUCGAUCUCUUCGUAAAAGUGCGAUCUAUACGUAGACAAUAAGAAACUGGACGUAAUUUGACGAUUUCCAUUUUUCCAUGGCGAUGGAAGAAAUAUUCGUGUUCGAUUUUAGCCGAAAAAAUCAAACUUUCUCAUAUACAUUGGCUCGUAACACUUAAACUAUUGAAUCGAUUGGAAAAUAAUGUAAAAAACAAUGGUUGGAAAUUAGAUUACCUUUAAAAUGGCGUCUUGCGCGACUCAAUCGGACGUUUCUAACUCUAGAUAUGGGCUAAAAUGUGAACGUAUAUCAGAAAAAAAUCGAAAAAAAAAUUCAAAAAUUCAUAUAAAAAAAACCUAUCCAUAGAAAAAUUUUUUCUUCCGAUUUUCGAGUGUAGUAGGCCAAAAUACAUAAGAAAAAAAUUGUGACAUUGAAUGUAGAUUUUUUCUUUCUUUUUUUAUUUUGUAAACUAGUGUUAUUUUCUUUUAGAAAACAAUGUUAAAAUACAAGUGGACAAGAAUGUACAUUAAUGGGGUUUGAAGAGGUGAGAAAUGGGGAAAAUAUCCGGUCACGGAGAUGAUCGAACGGAGAGGAACGUGCGGAUCAGGACCGACGGCGGAGUGGGGAUAGUCCGGUUCCACGCGUCUCUGUAAGCGAACGGCCAAGCAGUCCGUAGCGACGCGUCCCGGGCGCAGGUCGCUAUCAUGGUUUUCGUACGGUUUGACGGUGAUCGGCUCGGUGCCGUGGUGCAUUAUGGUUUCGCGAUUCUCUAUCUACUAUUUGUUUUCGUGCCGCGCCCCGUCACUUGCCAGGAAACCCUUACCAAUCGGAUGCGCGUGAUCAGCGAGGAUCUGGACCGGCAGCUGAACGGAAUCAUGGCCUCGCAGGGUCUCACUUACUCGACGGUGAACACGUCCGCGGUGCCCUACAAAGCCACCACGGAGUUCGACGCCAAGGGCAUGGCCCAGCUGUACAACGUGACCAACACGUUCAUCGACUUCGUACAAAGCAAGCAAGCGUAUCCGGAGGGAAUGUUCACCGUUGUAGAUGGAAAGCCAGUGUUUAAAUAUACAUUGACCCAGUGGCAGACCAUCGUGGUACAUUAUGGUGGACUGGCCGGUCUAGCUCUCAUUGGGCUCCUUCUGGCAGCGAUUUUACCCUGCGUGGGGUUGUUUUUCUGCUGCUGCAGAUGCGCUGGUCAUUGCGGUGCUAGGAGUCAACCAUUCGACAAGAAGCACGAUCACUGCAGAAAGGUGAUAAUCAGCAUGGUGCUCAUAGGGGUUGCUACUAUUAUAUUGUUUGGUGUCGUCUGCGCGUUUGUCACGAACGAGUACAUGCAGGAUGGUACGAAAGAGCUGCCCAAUAAUCUCAAAACCAACCUGAACGAUGUAAAACUGUACUUGAACACUACGAAGGAACAGAUCAACAAAAUUCUGAAAACCAAUUUUGACGAGUUGGAGAUCAACCUGAACAACAUCCUCCAAGCCAGCGGGAGAAUAGUCACAGAACAGCUCGCCGAGUACUCCCACGCAGUCUCGCUGACUAAUCUCAGUGACAUCGUAGCUGGUUUGGAGUCUAUCAAAGAGGACCUGAAUACCAUGCAGACCAUCACGCGGGAUCUACGGACCAAUGCUAGUCAUUUAGACAACGCUGUACGAGGUGUUAAAAACAAUCUCCUCCACACGCUCGCGGCGUGCAAGACCCAGAAUUGCAAGCAGGUCCUGCACGAUUACAAAGUGAACCAGAUGUCGGUUAAGAUAGACUUCGACAAGUACAUGGACCGAUACUUCCCGAAGUUGCCAGAUGUCACCUCUGCCUUGUACAAUAUCACCAUGUUGAUGAGGGGCAACAUCGUGUCAGAAGUCAGCCAGGGUAAGGAGUCAUUUCUGAAAAUACAGAAAGACAUUCAGUACGCGGUGAAUCAGACCAUUCCCACGGUCAGCGCAAGCAUCAGAAACGUUGGAGGCUUCUCAGCUGCUCUUGCAAACAACAUAACAGCUCUCCUCGAUAGGAUAUAUGUUGACGUAGACAGGGUUUACAUCCGGCAUGUGGAUAUUGCUCGAACAAACAUUGAUCGGUACUCGCCAUACAGGUACUACCUGGGUCUAGGUAUAUCUGGAGUUGUGUUGACCGUUCUGAUGUGUUUGACUUUUGGCCUAUUUUGUGGAAUUUGUGGAAAACGGCCCGACGGUUAUGGUGACGAUUGCUGCAACAAAGGAUCCGGAGCACGAUUUUUGAUGAUGGCUGUUUGGAUCAUUUUCCUUCUGACGAGCGUCCUAAUGGUGAUCACCGUGGUGCACAUGGUCACUGGUGUCCUGAUGCAACGUGCAGUCUGCGAACCUUUAAAGAAUCCCAACGACAACAGAAUGUUCGCUCUGGUCGAUGAAAUCGUUCAGGUCAAGAAAGUACUGUACCCCAUCUCCGACGUGAACAUGAGCUACAUUGUUACACAGUGCCACCUGAACGAGUCGCUGUACACUGUGCUGAAUCUGGAGCACCGCUACGAUGUGAAUGCACUACGGGAUUACGCCGGGCGCUACGACAUCAACAACACUAUCCAGCAUCUGCGUCGCAAAAUUAAUCUGUCUCCAGACGUGGUGAUUCUCACGGGAAGUGCCAAGUUGAAGCUCAACGAUCUCGCGCAGAGCGGGCUCAGCGACAUCAAGUUCUAUCAGUACGCCGAGAUCCUCGCCGAGAACAUCACCAACAUCAAUUUGGAACAUUUGGCAAAACAACUGCGGGAAGUAGCCGCCAAGUUGCCCGAAGACCAGGAGGUUAUUCGCCUUAGCCUGGAGAAGAACGCGAACGAUCUGGAGCAGUAUCAUAGAGACCUGGUGAUACCGAUGGCGACACUUAGCGAACAAUUGAGCGAGAAAGCGUUGACGCUUCAGGAGAAUAUUAAUUUCAAUCAUAGCUCGAUGGCGGAAGCCAUUCACGACCUCGUCGAAGAAGUUACAAAGGCGCAAACGUUUCUGAACAAAGACGGACCAGAAUAUGUCCAACAUCUAGCAACCAGGUUCGGAAACGCUUUUCUUCGCCAAAUUGAUGACUACCUCGAUUACGUCAGCGUAAGUGCUUUGAAAGAUGUUGGAAGAUGUGCUCCUGUUUCAAACGCUUACAACGCUACUCUGGUCGCCGGUUGCAAUAAGAUUCUGGAUCCAUUUAAUGGUUUCUGGGUGAGUGUCGGAUGGUGCUUAAUCCUCUUCAUUCCAACCAUAGUGCUCUGCGUGAAACUGAGCGCGCUGUAUCAGAAAUCGGACCCGUACCCAGGACCCCUAGUCGAAGCUGAAUAUUUGUAUGACGCGUACGCAGACAGGGAUAACAUACCCCUUGCUCAUGUUCAUGACAAGAAAUACGUAUCUCAAAGCAGACAUCAUCCAUCGGCAUAUGUCGAGAGCUAUGACGGCCCUGCGGUCGGAUACGAGCGGGAAAGGAUCUCUGACGCGCAUCAAAGCACGUCUCACCAUGACUCCAGAUACUCUGAUUUGGCGCCGAAGUGAGUGGGAACCUUGCGGGGGGGCAACUUCCCGCGUCUCUCGAUACGCCUCUGCACGUAAGUCGCAAGACAGAUUGUUAUCAAAUACGUCUUCGUUUUUAUUAGUUCCUAUUUCUUUCUUUUCUUUCUUUUUUUUUUUUUUUAAAUUCAUUUACUUACCUUUUUUUUUGUUCAAUUUCUUUGCGUCGCAGGCAAAAUAGCUUUGCUAGAGCUUUUACGAGUCGGUUACUACAAGCUGGAAGAAAUUCGCGUGGCAUCAACAGUUACCCUACACGCCAUCGCAAAUACGAAUUGUGUUAGACGAUAUAAGACCUGAAUAGAGCAUGUUUUCGAGUUUCGAGUCAUCGUUUUAUCAAAGGAAGUCACAGAUACAAAAUUAACUUCGUUUUUGCUUCGGCAGCUUCGUCAUUUGUUUGUUCGCUAAGGCAUACAUGCUGUGGCAAAGACACUACGUUCGAUGUUGACGACUUUUAUCUUGUACUCUUUUUUCUUUGUGUUCGUACUUUUUUUUUUCUCGUUCGAUACGUCUGACGAAGGAUAGAGUAUAAGUUGUACAAAGGAAAAUGUAUUUUGUGAUUUGUUAACGCGAUAGUGUUGGUUGCAGAAAUUGGGACUUCCCUAAUGGUGGUCCUCCUAGGUACCAGCCGGCUGCCGUGGCUCCUCCGCCGCUGAGCACAGAAUACGAACGACCACCUCCUUACUAUUAUCCUGGGCCAGGGGACAGAAAUUAGGAAACAAGUGCCGUGGCAUGCACAAAGGUAGCGCUGAGUAGCGUAGCUACUCAUAGUCUCACCCGCAGUUACAGAAGGACGCUCAAAAAGAAAGAGAAAUUCAGAUGCAAACGGGACUACGUUUAAUCGCAGCGUUCCUGAUGGGCGUGCCACGGACCGUGCAAACGGCAAAAUCAAUUAAAGACCAAGUUUGAUACAGACUGAGGUAGACUAAAUGGAACCCUUCGGCGAGCGCGAGUAAUGUGAUCUACGUGUGCGAUUCGUUUAACUUUAGUAUUAUUUAAAAACCAAGCGUUACAACGAGAGAAACGUUCACGUUGCGGGAACAGUUUCAAUCGUGCUGUCACCUUUUCUUCGGUUUCCCCUCCUAAUUGUUUAUUGUUCAUUAUUUUUUUUUUUUUUUAUUAUUUUUUUUUAUUACAAGACGAUCUGUAAUGUAGCGAUGAUUUUCAUCGUUUGUGCUAUAUUAAUUGAUUCCUUCACAUGACUGAUCGUUUAUCGCCCUUUUCUUCAACAUUUAAUCUUUCUUCUGUUAAUUGCCAUUGCGACCAAGUGUUCUAUCCUUGAUCUACGAUACGUCUUCAAGCUUUUGCGUGUAUUACUCGUUACAAACAUUGACUGGCAACUGCCGAAGACGUGCCGAAUGUUAUCGUCGUUUAUUUUUAUUAAAACAAAGUGUUUUUUUUAAA